rnacentral:rRNA from 1 species
CCCCUAGAUGUUCUGGGCCGCACGCGCGCUACACUGAACAGUUCAACAAGUCUUAACCUUGGCCGAUAGGUCUGGGUAAUCUUUGAACGCUGUUCGUGAUUGGGAUAGACCUUUGCAAUUAUGGGUCUUCAACGAGGAAUUCCUAGUAAACGCAAGUCAUCAGCUUGCAUUGAUUACGUCCCUGCCCUUUGUACACACCGCCCGUCACACCUACCGAUUGAAUGGUCCGGUGAAAUCUCGGGACGGCGGCUUGGUCGCUUGCGUCCGACUGCUGAAACUUGAUUAAACCAUAUCAUUUAGAGGAAGGUGAAGUCGUANCA